CUCAAAACAACUUUGAAUUUUUCUUAUUCAUUUUCCAUAUAAUUGCCAAUUAUAGAAUAUUCUCAAGUUUUACACUUCCAUCUCAUGGGGCAACUACAUAGGAAGUUUAUGAUACAAGGCUUAGUCCCAGAUUAUAAGCAGAACCAUGAAAACACUCGACAUAGCAAAUAUUUAUUACUAAUUAUCUAAUGUUGACCAAAUAUACCAGCCCAGUGGCUCACCCUCCCCUGCUCAUUCGAGUUUUAAUCAAAUUGAAUUACUCGUUCGAGCUUAUGGAUUCUGAUACGAUAUUAAAAUUUAAAAUUCCAUUUAAAAACUUCAUCUCAUUAAAAUAGUAGUCCAACCCUUUAUAUAACAUUUAACCGAGAUGAAAUUUGUUUCUUAACAUACCUAGUAAGAUAAUUGCCCGUUUGAACAUAUGAAUCUUGAAAAUCAUGUACUCAUUUGAGUCGAACAAAUAUAAUUCAUCGUUUGAGUUUAAUGGACUCUACUGUUAUAUUAAAAGUCAGAGUAACCAAAAUCUUAUAUUUUUUAUGAACACUUAAUACGGCUUACCAAAAAAUGCAAAUCAGGUCAAAGCCUUUAUGCAUCUACACCUCAAAACAACUUUGAAUUUUUCUUAUUCAUUUUCCAUAUAAUUGCCAAUUAUAGAAUAUUCUCAAGUUUUACACUUCCAUCUCAUGGGGCAACUACAUAGGAAGUUUAUGAUACAAGGUUUAGUCCCAGAUUAUACGCAGAAACAUGAAAACACUCGACAUAGCAAAUAUUUAUUACUAAUUAUCUAAUGUUGACCAAAUAUACCAGCCCAGUGGCUCACCCUCCCCCUCCAGCUGCUGCCCUUCCGCCGCCAGUAACACAUUCGAGAAAUAGCUGCCGCCAUCGUCACUGC
rnacentral:lncRNA from 1 species